GGUGGUGCUGCUGCUGCUGCUGUAGGUGGUGAUGGUGGUGUUGUGCUGCCUGCUGUGCCUCCUGGCGCCUACAGUUCGCUAUGACUAUGGUUCAAACCGGGAUCUAUGCCGUCCAUAAAUCAUUAAAGCAAGGGAAGUUGCCGCAACUUGAUUUGAACCGUUGCGUGCCUCAUCAAGUGAUAGAAGCGAGGCACACUCCCUUACACCCCCUGAACAUCCCACGCAUAGUGGCGACCGGACACAACAGGGGCAACUUCUUCCAGCAACAAACGGAAAUCUGUAUCGUGCUUGGCCGUUCUCCUGGGCAAACAAAGUGCUUGACAUCCAACGGGCUUCGAAUCAGCGGCCUCCGGCUUCGUCGUCUAAUUCACUAUGCCGACCAACGGCUAUCUGCUGUUUCGACAAAACCCAACUUCCACUGAGCUGCUGUUGUUGUUCGCUCAAUUCAAGUCUGCUACCACUUCUGCACCAACGCUGUCUGUGUUGUUUGCAAUCGUGCCCACAAACUG